GAUGAACGCUGGCGGCGUGCCUAAUACAUGCAAGUCGAGCGAACAGACGAGGAGCUUGCUCCUCUGACGUUAGCAGCGGACGGGUGAGUAACACGUGGAUAACCUACCUAUAAGACUGGGAUAACUUCGGGAAACCGGAGCUAAUACCGGAUAAUAUAUUGAACCGCAUGGUUCAAUAGUGAAAGACGGUUUUGCUGUCACUUGUAGAUGGAUCCGCGCCGCAUUAGCUAGUUGGUAAGGUAACGGCUUACCAAGGCAACGAUGCGUAGCCGACCUGAGAGGGUGAUCGGCCACACUGGAACUGAGACACGGUCCAGACUCCUACGGGAGGCAGCAGUAGGGAAUCUUCCGCAAUGGGCGAAAGCCUGACGGAGCAACGCCGCGUGAGUGAUGAAGGUCUUCGGAUCGUAAAACUCUGUUAUUAGGGAAGAACAAAUGUGUAAGUAACUAUGCACGUCUUGACGGUACCUAAUCAGAAAGCCACGGCUAACUACGUG
rnacentral:rRNA from 1 species